rnacentral:rRNA from 1 species
GAACGCUGGCGGCGUGCUUAACACAUGCAAGUCGAACGGAAAGGCCUCUUCGGAGGUACUCGAGUGGCGAACGGGUGAGUAACACGUGGGUGAUCUGCCCUGCACUCUGGGAUAAGCCUGGGAAACUGGGUCUAAUACCGGAUAGGACCAUGCUUUAGUGUGUGUGGUGGAAAGUUUUUUCGGUGUAGGAUGAGCCCGCGGCCUAUCAGCUUGUUGGUGGGGUAAUGGCCUACCAAGGCGGCGACGGGUAGCCGGACUGAGAGGUUGGUCGGCCACAUUGGGACUGAGAUACGGCCCAGACUCCUACGGGAGGCAGCAGUGGGGAAUAUUGCACAAUGGGCGCAAGCCUGAUGCAGCGACGCCGCGUGGGGGAUGACGGCCUUCGGGUUGUAAACUCCUUUCGCCAGGGACGAAGCGUUUUGUGACGGUACCUGGAGAAGAAGCACCGGCUAACUACGUGCCAGCAGCCGCGGUAAUACGUAGGGUGCAAGCGUUGUCCGGAAUUACUGGGCGUAAAGAGCUCGUAGGUGGUUUGUCACGUCGUCUGUGAAAUUCCACAGCUUAACUGUGGGCGUGCAGGCGAUACGGGCUGACUUGAGUACUGUAGGGGUAACUGGAAUUCCUGGUGUAGCGGUGAAAUGCGCAGAUAUCAGGAGGAACACCGAUGGCGAAGGCAGGUUACUGGGCAGUUACUGACGCUGAGGGGCGAAAGCAUGGGUAGCAAACAGGAUUAGAUACCCUGGUAGUCCAUGCCGUAAACGGUGGGCGCUAGGUGUAGGGACCUUUUGGGGUUUCUGUGCCGUAGCUAACGCAUUAAGCGCCCCGCCUGGGGAGUACGGCCGCAAGGCUA